GGCCUGAGUCCUCUAGGGGCACAGGUGUUGGAGGAAGUGUGAGUCAGACAUUGUGAACAUGUAAAAUCUGUGCACGGGCGGAGUCAUCUGCCAGGUCUGUGGCACAGAAUGAAACACUCAUGUGUAGCUCUGUGGUUUGGUUAUUACUCCAGAGGCCAGGCAACCUUGUCAGCUCUCCCCAAACUCCUCCCUUACGACGUGCGUGUCCACGAAUCCACCAAAACCAAGAACAGGACAAGAGUGGCUCUGCACGGUGGUUGUGUGUCAUUGCUAGUACCUGAGAGACUUUUCCUUUCCCAUAGGAUGGCCCUCGGGUCGUCACCCUGGAACAGAUUCUCCUCUGGGGAGGAUAUGUGAAUGUCCCAGGCUGGUAGUGAGUGGAGGAGCUCGAAACUGUCAAGAAAGAGUCUAGAAUUUAGACGAAAGACGAUAUCAGGACUAAGGAUGCAACUCAGUGGCAGAGUCCCCACCUGUCACGCAUGAAGUCCUGGAUUUAAUACCCAGUAUUUGGAGAGAGAAAAAAAUAACCAAAAAGAACAUCGCUCUUAAGAUAAAGAUGUGCAAGCCAGGCGUGGUAGUGCACAGUUUUCGUCCCAGCACUUGGGAGACAGAUGCAGGCAUGUUUCUGUGAGGCAAGACUGACCUGCACAAUGAGUUCCAGGCCAAUAGAUCUAUUUAGUGAGACUUUGUUGAAGAAGAGGAGGAGUGAGAGGAGGAAGAGGAGGAGGUGGAGGAGGAAGCACCACUUGUGGUUUGAAUAAAAAUGGCCCCCAUAGGCUCAUAUAUUUGCAUGUUUAAUUCCCAGCUGAUAAACUAUUUGGGAAGGAUUAGGGGGUAUGGCCUCCUUGGUUGAGGUGUGUCACUGUGGGGUGAGCUUUUGAGAUUUCAGAAGCCCAGGCCAGUUCCUCUCUCCCUGUCUCCCUGUCUCCCUGUCUCCCUGUCUCCCUGUCUCCCUGUCUCCCUGUCUCCCUGUCUCCCUGUCUCCCUGUCUCCCUGUCUCCCUGUCUCUCUGUCUCCCUGUCUCCCUGUCUCCCUGUCUCCCUGUCUCUCUGUCUCCCUGUCUCCCUGUCUCUCUGUCUCCCUGUCUCUCUGUCUCUCUGUCUCCCUGUCUCUCUGUCUCCCUGUCUCCCUGUCUCCCUGUCUCUCUGUCUCCCUGUCUCCCUGUCUACCUCUCUCUCUCUCUCUCUCUCUCUCUCUCUCCCUCUCUCCCCCCUCCCACCCCUACUGCUUCUGUAUCAGGAUGUAAAGUUCUCAGCCACUUCUCCAGCAUCCGGCAUUGUGCCAUGCCUGCCUGAGUGCCACCCCAUUUCCCACCAUGAUGAUAACGGACCAACUCUCUGAGGCUGUAAGCCAGCCCCCAGUGAAAUGCUUCCUUCUCCUCUUGGCGGUGGUGUCUCCUCACAGCACUAGAGCAGUGACUCAGACUCACCGUGCAGUGUGAAGACAGAGCAAGGCACGGUGGGAAUGGACUGAGCUGUACAGCCUCUGUGUUUGUCACUGUUCUUUCUCAGGCCCUCUCCUUGGACUUAUGUCCUACACGGAGGGCGUCCGGUAGGAGUCCUUUCAGCAAAGCUUUAUCACUGGCGAAGGUCUUCAUUUCAUACUUACACUUAUCUACACUCUAGGCUGGCGGUUUUGGGGGUUUUCAUUUCCUCCGAAGCACGACGAUUUACCUCCCAGUGCUGCUGAUGGGGGGAGAGACUUUAUAGAUAAUAUUUCCCCCUCAGUUUGUAUGUUACAGGUUUGAUGUAUGUGCGAAUUACCUUGCAUGAGAUGCUUAGAAUGAAGUCUUCAGAAAUUCCUGAACACUUGAAUUACGGUUCUGUGAUGUUGAGUGGGUGCCUCUCUCGUUUUCUCCCUUUCUGGAGAAUUUUCCAGUGUGUUAGCUUUUCCUUCCAUCCUGUAUGCCUAUCAUCCACUCUCGCCCAUUCAUUCAUCCUGCAUGUCUAUCCACUCUCGUCCAUUCAUUCAUCCUGCAUGCCUAUCCACUCUCUCCCAUCCAUUCAUCCUGCAUGUCUAUCCACUCUCUCCCAUUCAUCCUGCAUGUCUAUCCACUCUCUCCCAUCCAUUCAUCCUGCAUGUCUAUCCACUCUCUCCCAUUCAUCCUGCAUGUCUAUCCACUCUCUUCCAUUCAUUCAUCCUGCAUGUCUAUCCACUCUCUUCCAUUUCCUAUAGUUUUGUUUUAGGCCUUUAUUCUUACACCUUCAUGAGUAAUUUCUCUAGCAUUUCCGUACUGCUGUUCUCUCUUCAGCUGCGUCUCUGCUCACCCACCUGUCUACAAAGAUGUUCUUUUCAGUCAGUGUAUUCUUCAUGUAUUCUUUUUCUUGGUGGACCUUGUUCUUUUCUGAUUCGGGGAAUUCCCUCUUUCACUUCCCUGGAGCUCUGUGGCUACUGUUGGGCGUCACCUGGAUAAUGUGGUUUCAAUCGUGUGCUCAUAAUUGGAAGGCUUUCUCACCUGUAUGAAUCUUUUUCAAUUAAAUUGUAUGUGUGCUGAGGGGGUGUUCACAUGAAUCUUGAAUGACUUGUGUCGCUAAUGUUUCCAUGUAGGGAACAUCUAUGUGUUUAUUUUUUUCCAGGUAGGGCAUGGAAUAUGAAUACGGGUAAAUGCUGGCUCUGGUAAAAUCGGCAAUAAACGUUACAAAAGUGAUAUUAAUUUAAGCCACUUGGAAUUUAUAUUAUUUUCUUCCCUUGAUAGUAGAAAACGGUCUGGAUUAAAACCUCUUGACAUUACAUCUUCACUUUAUUUUUUUUCUUUUUUUCUUUUUUUCUUUUUAUUUUUCCGGAGCUGGGGACUGAACCCAAGGCCUUGCGCUUGCGAGGCAAGUGCUCUACCACUGAGCUAAAUCCCCAACCCCACAUCUUCACUUUAAAACAGAAUUGUAAGGAGUAAAUGAGAUAUGAAAACAAAACUUGUGGAAUAGUAUCUGAGAUAGAGGUCUCUGGUUCGCUUCUCAUCUGAUAACUGGAGGUGUUUCCAACUCAUCCAUGUUUCUCACUUGUGCCGAGGGAGGCCCCAUGAGGAGGCUGCUGUCUGUGCUAGGCCGGAGUUUUAACUGGAGACAGCCACACCUAGGGACCAGCAACAGGGUCCCUUCUGGGAAUCAGGGGAGGGUACUGAUGCUGGCCCAUCUGGGCUUCUCCUCGUAGUGCUCCAGUCUUAACAAUCUCGGAGACUCCAUGAUCUUGGCUCAGAUGAUAAGUGUGUGGGUUUCUGAAACCAGAUGAGUACUGGGCUCAAAUCCUGACUCUAAGUUUUAUUGACAGGAGGGGAGAAGUAGGCAAAGCAAGCAGUAAGGGUUGGGUAAUGGUCCAGGGGAAGAUGCUGUCUCAUUAACCUUCAACUGGUGUCUUUUCAGGAACGCUAAGUCCUAAGCUGACAAGAUGAGAGGGAAGAUCAGUGAUCUCCACAUUUUAUAAUAAAGGACCACCAGUCAAAACAUCUAGAGAAAACAUCUCUAACAUGAGUGUACUUAAUUAUAAAUGAUACACUGUUCAACUGUGAAUGUGCGUGCCAAUUAUAAACCAAACCUCUCUUUUUUUCAGCAGAUACAAGCUGCCCUCCCUAUGCGUGGGAAUCACUGGUCAUGGACAUUCGACCUCCUGCAGACCAAAGUACUUAAUUCCUAUACGUUUCUUCGUUAUGGCGCCCUGGCUGGCCCAGCUCUUACUAUAGAUCAGGCUGGCCUCAAACUGAAAGAAGUCUGCCUGCCUUGCUCCUAAGUGUUAGGAUUAAAGGUGUUUCCCAUCACACCUGGCCUUCAGUCACACCUGUGCGCACCUGAAGCUCACUGUGGUGAUGCAAGCUUGAGUCAAUCCAGCAGCACUCGUGAGACAGAGAUAAGGACAGAGGGAGUUCAAUGGCAUCCUCAGCUAGCUCCAUAGCGAAUUUGAGGCAAGCUGAGCUACAUGAGACUCUUAUACACACAGACACACACACACACACAUGCAUUCAUGCACACACACAUACACAUGCAUACACAUGCAUGCAUGUGCGCACACACACACAUACACGAAUACAUGAGCACACAGGCAUGCACACAUAUACUCAUGUACACAUGCAUGCAUGCACACACAUUUACAUAUGCAUGCAUACAUAUACACACAUGCAUGCACACAUGCACAUAUGCACGCAUGCACACAAUCUGUUCUGGAGGGGUACAGGCUCCUUUUCCAUGGGCCCAUUUGCUAAACAAUAUAACAACUAUCUGCAUAGAGCUCUAGCUCUUUUAGGUAUGAUAAGCGAUGGCUGAAAGCCCAUAACAGGAGCUGUGUAGUUAAACUCAGACCAUUUGUCAUUUACUCGGAAAGGAGCAGUUCAUGUCCAUAGAGGUUCUUGGGUCUCUCCUCAGGAGAUACCAGAUGACCAGAAUGAUCAUGUGUAUGGCCCAUGACUUCAGCCUCUUUCCAACGAGUGUGUACUGAGAAUCUGUGAAGGAAACUGUCACUCCAGGAGCUAUCUAGAAAAAUUGGGUGAAUUGUAGACAUACUGUUGGCCUUGUUCCUUUGACACCAUGAAAGCCAUGUCCCCUAGGCUAGCUGGAGCUCAGCGUUGGAGGUGGUUUUGCCAGUGAGGCAUCCAGGGGAAGUUAGAUUUCCUAGACAAGGCUGAGUUCUCGUCUGUAAAUGAGACUCACCAUGGAACUGUUACAGGGCUGAGAUCAAAUACCAUUGAGCUCAAUUAAUUUCACUCCCUUCUUGCUGUCUCUUCUGUGAAACGGCUGCUAGGCUGCCCUUUUCAAUAAGGCACCAGGGAGACCACAGCCAUCAAUAAGGGGCCCACUUGUGAGCUGAGACAUCUCUUUACUGCAGAAGGGGCCAGCAGGACAUUUUCAAGUGCAGCUGCUUUCCACGGAAACAGGCAGGCAGUUUGAGACCCUCGGUCCUUCUCUCUUCUUCCGUGAGAGUCAGACAACUUCAGAUGUUCAGUUUGGUUUCUUUCUGGGGUGGGCUGGCAUCUCACACAGUAACAAUUUUUAAGUGACAAUAACUCCUAGGUAAAGGGUAAAGUGAUUGAGGUGUGAUAAAAUGUAGAUGGGGCAUGUGUGUGUGUACAUGUAUGUGAGUACAUUUGAGUACAUGUGUGUACAUGUGUGCAUGUAUGCGAGUAUGUGUGUGUACCUGUGUGUGUGUGUGAGAGAGAGAGAGACAGAGACAGAGAGAUAGGUGGGGGUGGGGGGAAUAUAUAUGUUUUGUAAGGCGGUGCUGAGCUGGGGAAACGCAGGCCUGGUAGCCCUGGUGGGUCACCUUGGGCUAAUGGGGGAGGGGAUCCCAUUCAGCCAUGUUCUGGGUGGACUGAUACAUGAACAGGAAGUAGCUUUGCCCUGUGACUAUUGGCAUAGUGCCUCUCAACGGGUUGCACCUUGGAAAAGCCUAGGGAACCUUAAAAGAACCCAGUGCCUGGCACUCUACAGGUCAGUUCAAUCAGAAAGCCUAGAAUGCAGCCAAACACCAGCGGUUCAGUUCCCCUAAAACUAUGUACCUGGGUAUAUAGGCCAUUCCAUACACUUAGGGCUGCGCAGUGUUCAUCCUGAAAUAAAACAGGGAAAUUUCGCUCCCUAAAAAUGGACAACUGUGGGUUGGGGAUUUAACUCAGUGGUAGAGCGCUUGCCUAGCAAGCGCAAGGCCCUGGGUUCGGUCCCCAGCUCUGAAAAAAAGAAAAAAAAAAUGGACAACUGUGAAUAUUCUAUCUCCCUCUCAGGACUCGGCCUCUAAGAGCCACCGUUAUCACAUCCUGAAAUUCUGGCCUGUAGGACAUGAAGCACCCAGGCAGGUCUACUGGUUGCAUUUCAGAUGACCCGUGUUACAGACUGAUUUGCGUGUUACCUGGGCUCCCAUUAGCAUGGGAGUAAACUUGGAGGUAUGGUUUUUAAAUGGGUGAUUAGGUUAAGAAAAGGGCAUUAUGUGGGCCCUGAUCCUUCUGAUUGGUGGCUUCAGAAGAGAAAAUGAGCACAUGGACAGACACACAGAAGGAUGAGCGCAUAGAUGAGAAGCCAGCUGCCUCUAAACCAAAAACAGAGGCCAACUGUUGAUAGUAGAGGCUCAGCCUCUCAAAUUGCUUCUUUAUUUUAUUUUUUAUUUGUUUUAAGAGCUUCAAAAGGGACUCAGAGAUCCACCUGCCUCUGCCUCCCGAGUGCCGGGAUCAAAGGCGUGCGCCACCAUGCCAAGCUUCAGCAGCCAGAGCUGUUAACUGCUCAGUGAUCUCUUCAGCCCCAAAUUCUUUUUACACUUAUAGAUUCAUCUUGUGCGUGUAUGCCACUGUGUCUGAGAAUGUGGGGCUCAGAGGACUCACUGGUAAAGUCGGUUCUCUCCACACCCAUUCUGCAGUGUUUUCAUGGUCACUGAGGAGAUGAAACAUGGCCUAGUUCCAAGCACAACUUGCCACCAGUAGGAAAAAGCAGAGCGCUGCAUGGUAGCCUUUCCUGAAGUCUCUUCUCCAUCCCUCCUGCUCCUACUCUCUGCAUCUUUCCAAAGCUCAGGGGAAAGGAACCAUAUAAGCUUGUAGGGAGACCACAUUGACCAAACCCUGGGAGUUCAGCGGAAAGAUGAACAAGACUCUGCUUCUCUUUCUCCCCUUCACACUUGGCCCCCAGCCCAAGCCUCUGAACUUCUUUAAGAAGAAAGGGGAAAGAAAAUGGGGGAGAAGGGAAAGAAAUCAAGACGGAAAGAAAUCCCGCCUGUCCUCAUCAGAGAAAUGACAGAGAAAGGCCAGGCAAAACAGUCCAACAAGCAGCCCUGACAGGCGGUCCAUAUUCCUCCCGGUGAGUCACCUUAAAGAGCAUACUCUUCUCACCGUGACCGAGAGUUAUAGUCCCUCUAACUGCCCCGUGAAUUGUCUUCAAGGUUCAAGUGUUUGCUGUGACCUGAGAUUGAUCCCCAGAACCUGGAGUGGGAGAAGAAAACCUGCUCCUGAAGGUUGCCCUCCGACCUCCACAGGUGCGCUUUUGGCCGCUGUGUGCCCUCACACACACACCACACACCACAUAUACGCACAUGUAUACAACCAAACAAUGAUCAAUAAAACUUAAAGAGAAACCGACUCAGUAAGUACAGAAGGGCACUGUGAGCUUGAUGGUGUUUAUCUGUAGGCAAAUGCCUUGGGGUUUUUAUGACUGAGACUCCCAAAAGGCAGCCCAGCCCCCUACACUCCAGCUCCCUGCUUUAUUCUCCAAAGUAAGAGAAUGUAUGUGUGUGUGUGUGUGUAUAUAAUGUAUAUAUAAUUUAUAAAUAUAUUUUAUGAAUACAAAUAUAUUUCAUAUAAAUUUAUAAAGAUGAAUAUAUAUUUAUAUAGAGAUAAUAUAUCUGUAUGUAUAUAUACAUAAUUAUUUAGUGUGUUUGUCCACAUACACACAUUCCACAGUGCGUGCAUGCGCGCGUGUGUGCAAGUGUGUGUGUGUGUGUGUGUGUGUGUGUGUGUCUGUGUGUGUGUAGAUCAAAAGACAACUCUGCUUCAACCACAUGGUCCAGAUAUCAAACUCAGGUCAUCAAGCUUGGUGACGAGCUCCUUUACCCACUGAGCCAUCUUGCCUCCCGUGGGAUACAUUUUUUUCUCUCUUUUUUUCUUUUUUUCUUUUUCUCGGAGCUGGGAACCGAACCCAGGGCCUUGCGCUUGCUAGGCAAGCGCUCUACCACUGAGCUAAAUCCCCAACCCUGGGAUACAUUUUUAAUGCAGGGAUGGUAGCCUUUCAGUGGGCACCACAGCAAGGAAGCCCAAAAUCUUCAGAGAGAAGAUAGUAUCAGAGAGCCUGGGCCUCGGCAGUCUUGGGGGUGAUUAGCCCAAGUCACAAGCACGGAGGGGAAGGAAGGACGGCCCACCAUGCAGCCUCUGGAUUGUAAAGAGAUAGUAGACUCUCCAGGGGUGGGGGUGGGGAGUCAAUGACCCAGGAAAAAUGACAGCAGCUGACAGCCUAAAGCAUGAGCCUGGGAGAGCUGCAAAGAGGAGGGGGCAUUAAGUAAUGUUCUCAAACUGCAGGGAUGAACCAGGAGUCUUUGCACCAGGUGACUCCGACAGGGCCCCUCUGGUGGGGGCCCACUACAUUCUGGGACUUUCUCUCACAUUGACACUUCUUCUGUCCUUCUUCACAAGUCCAGGGGGUCCUGAACCCCCUCUCUCUUCCAUACCUUUUUGAUGGUUCUCUUAUUUAGAAAACAAGUGUCUAUAUUGUCAAACACGCUCCUAGCCCUGGGCUAUUGUGGUAAGGCUCUGCAGGGGAGAGCUGUGUCGUCCCGGCUACACACGUACCAAACUCACGAAAGGGAACAGGCCUGUCUGUCCCUAAGAAAUCAGGCAGUACCCUUUGAGGCCACAGAAAAGCAAUCACAAGAAGAGGCCGAUGCUCUCUGCCAGAUGCUCAAACUGUACAUUUGGGAGCAUAGGAUUCCCUGCAUGCUACCACAUCAUUGCACGGUUUGCUCCUGCAGCUGCAAUUUAAAGUUAAAUGGGCCAACUUUUCUCUAUGUGACUUCAGAGAGGUUUUCCCUGUCCCACAUUAUAUAGAACUCAAGUCUAAACCUGAGUGGGCCUAUAGUUUGGCAAGACAGGACCACAUGUUUCUUUUGGUCCCUGGACAGCAAUGAGGAAAGCAGAAAAGGCCUGGCAAUGCCACCACCUACUGUUGGCUCUGAGACUCAGAAACCACAGAAAACAGCAGGAAAAGCCACCCGUCCGCCUCACUACUCAAGAACCAAAACACCUGCUUCUCACAGGAUGCUGGCUCCCAGUUUGUAGGCUAGAUCUGCUCUAUGUCAAGUUGCAAAGCACAGUUAAUUUCUACCAUACACACUGUUAGUACCGCGACUGCUCCCCACAAGAAACAAACUCUAAGAGCCUAUAAUCUGCAGGUGGGGGAGUCUCACUGCAGUUUGUCUAAAGCAAUCUUUGUUCAGUUGCAAUGAUAUCAUGGGACGGGGGACAGGUGUCAGUUUUUAAUUCUUCUCUUACAAUAAUCAGGGCAAGAGAGUGGCUGAACUCAGAGCCGCUCACUAUAGCUUAAACCAGCAAACACAGAAAGUUUCUGGAAGCCAAGAAAGUUCUAUUACAGAAAAGGAAAAAAAGUCAACAACGCUUGGAAAAAAAAAAAAAAAAAAAAAAAAGGAUGAAUCUCCCCAGCACAUUUACCAGAGUUUUGGUUCUCCGCAGCUCGUUUUAAAGGGCCAUGAUUUGCUUGCCAAACAGGCAUAACUUGGCUUCCUUGGCCAGGCAAGAACACUGCCUCGAUAUUAAACAUUCUAAGCAAAGAACCUCUGACCUACGGGCUCUCAGCUAACAAUGAAUGACAUUCUCUGUGAGCGCACCAGAAACCCAGCUUCUUUCUUUGCCUAGUACUCUGUCACACGAGCAGAGAGCAGAGCAGAGCAGAGCAGAGCAGAGCAGAGCAGAGCAGAGCAGAGGACUGGUGACUCUGUUUACCACAGUUAAUGCUGAAAAAGAAAAGGAAAGGAGAACUGUAGCAAGAGGGUUGCUAGAGAGUCUGUGCCCAGCCUGAACUAGGCAGAAGGUCCCUGGAGAGAGGUAGAGAUGCUUCCUAGGGUUGAUGGACAUCCAGGGUGGUUAUGGUUGUAGAGACAUUCGUCACUUGAGCAUGGGUUCUAAAAGUCAUCCCCACAACUGCCACCUGCAGCCUUACCUCACACCUUGCUAAGAUAUUUUGCCCGGAGGUCAGGUAGGAGUUUGCCGAAGAAAGCAUCGAUCUUUGACUUGGCAGGAGGGAGGUGUGUGUGUGUGUGUGUGUGUGUGUGUGUGUGUGUGUGUGUGUUUGGUGGGGGUGGAUGCUGCCACCUUUUUGCUGAAGAGUCAUGCCUCUGAGUGUAGUCUCGGUUAUAUCAGCUUCCAUCAGUUUCAAGGUAUCUCCACCAGACUGCCAGUCUUCCCAAACUCUCUCCCUCGAGGCUGGCUUGGACUUGAGGUCCAGCGUGUCCUGGACUAGUCUCCUUACAUGGGUAACCCUGGAGUUUGGUUGGGACGCACCCUUAUCGUGUGGGUGGCCAGCCAAGGGCAAUUCUUCGUCCAGAACACCGUAAUCUUCAGAGUUGGGCGUGGUACGGGACUCAGUUUAGGGGUCCUCGAGUGAACAUGUAAAGAUCAAGGCUGAGUCACCGAUGCCCAGGAAACUACUAACAAAAGUCGAGAGAAACUCGAAAGAGGUCGUGCCCCGUGGAGAGGCCGCUCACCUGGGCAACAGCUAGGGGAACGCGGGAUCAAGGCAAGCAAAGGAGCUCUUACCGGAAAAAUCGGUGAGCGCGGAGGUCUCUUUGGAGCACACUAGGACCGUGCAGUAGAAGAGGCGCAGAAGCUGCCCUGGAGGCUCUACCUGCCUGCGGAGGCCGGGAUUCUGCGGUGGCUGUGGCCCGGGCGGCAGACGCGGGUGUCCGGGCAAGACCAUGAUGCGCGGCGCGGCUGGGCGCGGGCGCCGGUGCUGGGAUCGCAGGCAGGAGGAUCGCGUCACAUGGCGGGGCGAGUCCGUAGCCACCGGCUCCCAGCCCCCUGCCGCCUCCUGGUCCAGUCUGCUGGAGCUUCUUAGGCGGUCGCCACCGGGUCCCGGAUCCCAAGCCAAGGGGAGGGGGCGGAGACCUGGGGCGGGGCGAGGAUCCCAGGGAGGCCGAGGCGUAGUUUCUUCUGAAGAAAUCUCCCUGGUUCCACGCGCCUAGAGAGCCUAGAGAGUCUAGGGGGUGUCACCUCGUGCCCCGGAGCAUUGCUGAGGCCGAUCCGGGGCGCCGAGCCCCUAGCGGAGAGCGUCUCCAGCAGCGAUCCCGAUGCUGCGCAACUUGAGCGCUUUCCACACCCGGGUCUCUAGGCGGGGUGAUGGCCAAGAGCUGCUGGCCCAGCCUGCGCUGGCCCGGCGCCAACCUCACCCAGGCCGGUGGAGCGGCGCGGCCGGUGCCCGUCCGUGACGCACUUUAGAACCAACGCAGCAGCGUACAGUCCUGGCCAGAGGGGAGCGGAGAUUAUGGGAAGAUGGGGGUCCCGGAGAUAGAGGCAUUACUGUCCCUGCCACCUUCAGCGAUUGAUGUUCAGUUACCAAACACGCAGUACGUCCGAUCGCACCAAAUGGGAGACUGGGUCCUCAACUCUCUGGCCACCACACAGAGAUCUGCCUAGGUUCUAGCAGUCCGGACCUGAACGAGCUGAUAGCCUCAAACCGGUUGAUCACGAGGCUACGAGCCCGGUUCUAUUUGCCCCGAUGGAGCUUCCGGUGGGUUCUAGUUGACAGCGCCCUCGGGGAUCUGAAACUGGGCUGGAAUGAACAGCGCUUAUAAUUGAGCUUUGUUUUAAAA